rnacentral:rRNA from 1 species
AGUGAACGCUGGCGGUAGGCCUAACACAUGCAAGUCGAACGGCAGCACAGUAAGAGCUUGCUCUUACGGGUGGCGAGUGGCGGACGGGUGAGGAAUACAUCGGAAUCUACUUUUUCGUGGGGGAUAACGUAGGGAAACUUACGCUAAUACCGCAUACGACCUACGGGUGAAAGCAGGGGAUCUUCGGACCUUGCGCGAUUGAAUGAGCCGAUGUCGGAUUAGCUAGUUGGCGGGGUAAAGGCCCACCAAGGCGACGAUCCGUAGCUGGUCUGAGAGGAUGACAAGCCACAUUGGAACUGAGAAACGGUCCAGAUUCCUACGGGAGGCAGCAGGGGGGAAUAUUGGACAAGGGGCGCAAGCCUGAUCCAGCCAUACCGGGUGGGUGAAGAAGGCCUUCGGGUUGUAAAGCCCUUUUGUUGGGAAAGAAAAGCAGCAGGUUAAUACCCCGCUGUUCUGACGGUACCCAAAGAAUAAGCACCGGCUAACUGCGU